GUGCUUGCUUCAGCAGCACAUACACUAAGAUUGGGACGAUAUAGACAAGAUUAGCAUGACUCCUGCACAAGGAUGACUCACAAAUUCAUGAAGCGUUCCAUAUAAAA